AACUUGCCAAUUACUCUUUCCAGAUAUUACAGGAGACUCCGAUUGGCUCUCCCCGAGUCACGUGCUCCCUGCUAGCCAAACAACAGUAGCCUGGAGUGUGAAGUGCAUGGGAUCUCACUCUUAAAUUCAAAAGUUAAGACAAUGAGGACGGCUAUCUUACAAGACCUAAUGGCCCUUGACGUACUAACGGCAGCUCGAGGAGGAACCUGUGCCAUCAUUAGAGUGCUGUGUAUAUAAACCUGACAACUGGGACAAUAUGUCCUCAGUCCUCCAAGAUUUACAUACUCAAAUUAAAUCUCUGUCAGGCCCU
rnacentral:lncRNA from 1 species